GCUGGGAUGGUGGAGCGGUCAAACACAUUGGUCUGUAAAACCAACGGCGCAAGCCUACCCAGGUCCGAAUCCUGGUCCCAGCA
rfam:Microgenomates bacterium GW2011_GWC2_45_8 TX21_C0052, whole genome shotgun sequence.